GACGAACGCUGGCGGCGUGCUUAACACAUGCAAGUCGAACGGAAAGGCCCUGCUUGCAGGGUGCUCGAGUGGCGAACGGGUGAGUAACACGUGGGUGAUCUGCCCCUUAUUUUGGGAUAAGCCUGGGAAACUGGGUCUAAUACUGGAUAGGACCAUGCUGUAGGUGGUGUGGUGGAAAGAUUAGUUUCGGUAAGGGAUGAGCUCGCGGCCUAUCAGCUUGUUGGUGGGGUAAUGGCCUACCAAGGCGUCGACGGGUAGCCGGCCUGAGAGGGUGGACGGCCACAUUGGGACUGAGAUACGGCCCAGACUCCUACGGGAGGCAGCAAUGGGGAAUAUUGCACAAUGGGCGCAAGCCUGAUGCAGCGACGCCGCGGGGGGGAUGACGGCCUUCGGGUUGUAAACUCCUUUCAGCCAUGACGAAGCCCUUGUGGUGACGGUAGUGGUAGAAGAAGCACCGGCUAACUACGU
rnacentral:rRNA from 1 species